rnacentral:lncRNA from 1 species
GGCACCAACAGUGAUGGAAAUUGAGAAGAUUCUCAUCUAAUAUGAUCAGAUGAUAUCACUCAACCAAUCAAAAUUUUUUCAUAAUUAAUUGGAAUUUUUUGAUUGGUCGAAUGAUGUGGCACUGCAUGGCACAGCAGGGUCUAUUUAAACCUUGUCUGCGCCUAGGGUUUAGAGAUUCUACUCAAUACCCAGCAAAAAUGAGAUUCUCCUCUACUUCUGUAUGUCCCCUCUACUCCUCGCUCUUCCCUAUUCACGUUCAAGAAGUUGGAUGUCCAUCUGGUGCUUGUCCAAGGCGUGGUGGCUCUCUGAACAGAAGGCUGCAGGGAUUUGUCGAGAAGCUGCUGCUUCAGCUUCAGAAGAUCUUUUGAAGAUCUU